rnacentral:rRNA from 1 species
GACGAACGCUGGCGGCGUGCUUAACACAUGCCAGUCGAACGGAAAGGCCCUGCUUUUGUGGGGUGCUCGAGUGGCGAACGGGUGAGUAACACGUGAGUAACCUGCCCUUGACUUUGUGAUAACUUCAGGAAACUGGGGCUAAUACCGGAUAGUAGCUCCUGCUGCAUGGUGGGGGUUGGAAAGUUUCGGCGGUUGGGGAUGGACUCGCGGCUUAUGAGCUUGUGGGUGGGGUAGUGGAUUACCAAGGCUUUGACGGGUAGCCGGCCUGAGAGGGUGAGCGGCCCCAUUGGGACUGAGAUGAGGCACAGCCUAAUACGGGAGGCAGCAGAGGAGAAUAUUGCACAAUGGGAGGAAGGAUGAUGCAGCAACGCCGCGUGCGGGAUGACGGCAUUCGGGUUGUAAACCGCUUUCGCCUGUGACGAAGCGAGAGUGACGGUAAUGGGUAAAGAAGCACCGGCUAACUACGUG